rnacentral:rRNA from 1 species
UCGACGGCAGCACGGGAGCAAUCCUGGUGGCGAGUGGCGAACGGGUGAGUAAUGUAUCGGAACGUACCUUUCAGUGGGGGAUAACGUAGCGAAAGUUACGCUAAUACCGCAUAUUCUGUGAGCAGGAAAGCAGGGGAUCGCAAGACCUUGCGCUGAUUGAGCGGCCGAUAUCAGAUUAGCUAGUUGGUGAGGUAAAGGCUCACCAAGGCGACGAUCUGUAGCGGGUCUGAGAGGAUGAUCCGCCACACUGGAACUGAGACACGGUCCAGACUCCUACGGGAGGCAGCAGUGGGGAAUUUUGGACAAUGGGGGCAACCCUGAUCCAGCCAUGCCGCGUGAGUGAAGAAGGCCUUCGGGUUGUAAAGCUCUUUCAGCCGGGAAGAAAUCACAUGGGUUAAUACCCUGUGUGGAUGACGGUACCGGAAUAAGAAGCACCGGCUAACUACGUGCCAGCAGCCGCGGUAAUACGUAGGGUGCGAGCGUUAAUCGGAAUUACUGGGCGUAAAGCGUGCGCAGGCGGUUUGUUAAGAUAGGCGUGAAAUCCCCGGGCUCAACCUGGGAACUGCGUUUAUGACUGGCAGGCUAGAGUAUGGCAGAGGGGGGUGGAAUUCCACGUGUAGCAGUGAAAUGCGUAGAGAUGUGGAGGAAUACCGAUGGCGAAGGCAGCCCCCUGGGUUAACACUGACGCUCAUGCACGAAAGCGUGGGGAGCAAACAGGAUUAGAUACCCUGGUAGUCCACGCCCUAAACGAU